rnacentral:rRNA from 1 species
AAUGAAAAUUUUAUUAAUAAUUUAAUUUUAAAAUUAUUUUUAAUUAAAAUAUUAUUAAUUUAUUAAUAUUUAAGUAUAUAUAAGAAAAAAUUAUAAAUAAUUAUAGUUUAUUAGUAAUGAAAAUGAAUUAAUUUAAUUAAAUUAAAGAAUUUUUUAUUAAAAGUACCUUUUGUAUCAGGGUUUAUUUAAUUGAUAAUUAUGAUUUAAUUAUUCUCGAAUUUAAAAGAUUUAAUUUAUUAUUUUUAAUAUUGUUGUAUAAAUAUAUAUAAUAAUAAGUUAGUAAUUAAAUGUUAAUCGUUUUUAAAUAUAUCUAGUUUUUUUAGAAAAAAAUUUAAUUUUAUUAUAAAUUAUUAUUUAAAUUUAAAUUUAAAUUUAGAUAUUUAUUUAUAAAAAAAUUUUUAGGGAUAAGCUUAAAAAUUGAAUUAUAUUAAUAUUUUUAAAUUAAAUAAAUUUAUGAUUAGAAAUUUCAAUAAUAUAAAUAAUUUUAUAAUUUAUAAAUAUAAAUUUUAAUUUUUAUUUAAUUAGUUAAUAAAUAAAAAUAUUUAAUUUAAUUAAUAAAUUAAAUUAGUAAUGAUAAAAUUAGUAUAUUUUAAAAUAAUAUAAUAUAAUUUUAAAAAAUUUAAAAUUUAAAAUAAGGAAUUCGGCAAAAUUAAUUGCUCGCCUGUUUAUCAAAAACAUGGUUUUUUGUUUAUAAUUUAAAAUUUAAUCUGCCCACUGAUUAAUUAAAGGGCCGCAGUAUAUUGACUGUGCAAAGGUAGCAUAAUCAUUUGUUUCUUAAUUGUUGACUUGUAUGAAUGAUUGGACGAGGUAAUUACUGUCUCAUUUUUAUUUAAAAUAAAAUUUUAUUUUUAAGUUAAAAAGCUUAAAUAUUAUUUAAGGACGAGAAGACCCUAUAGAGUUUAAUUAAUUUAGUAAAAAUUUUUAUUUUAGUAUUUAAAUUAUUUUUAUAAAUAUUAAUUUAAUUGGGGUGAUUAAAAAAUUUAAUAAACUUUUUAAAAUAUUAUUCAAAAAAUUUUGUUUAAAUUUGAUCCAGAAUUUUUGAUUAUUUGAAUAAAUUACCUUAGGGAUAACAGCGUUAUUAUUUUGGAAAGUUCAUAUUUAUAAAAUAGUUUGCGACCUCGAUGUUGAAUUAAGAUAAAUUUUUGGUGCAGCAAUUGAAAUUUUUAGUCUGUUCGACUAUUAAAUUCUUACAUGAUUUGAGUUCAAACCGGUGUGAGCCAGGUUGGUUUCUAUCCUAAAUUAUAUAAAAUAUUUUAGUACGAAAGGACCAUAUAUUUAAUUAAAAAUUUAAUUAUGAA